GACGAACGCUGGCGGCGUGCUUAACACAUGCAAGUCGAACGGUAAGGCCCUUCGGGGUACACGAAUGGCGAACGGGUGAGUAACACGUGGGUGAUCUGCCCUGCACUUCGGGAUAAGCCUGGGAAACUGGGUCUAAUACCGGAUAGGACUCCGGACUGCAUGGUCUGGGGUGGAAAGCUUUUGCGGUGUGGGAUGGGCCCGCGGCCUGUCAGCUUGUUGGUGGGGUGAUGGCCUACCAAGGCGACGACGGGUAGCCGGCCUGAGAGGGUGACCGGCCCCACUGGGACUGCGAUACGGCCCAGACGCGUAAGGGAGGCAGCAGUGGGGAAUAUUGCACAAUGGGCGCAAGACUGAUGCAGCGACGCCGCGUGAGGGAUGACGGCCUUCGGGUUGUAAACCUCUUUCAGCAUCGACGAAGCGAGAGUGACGGUAGGUGCAGAAGAAGGACCGGCCAACUACGUGCCAGCAGCCGCCGUAA
rnacentral:rRNA from 1 species